GACGAACGCUGGCGGCGCGCCUAACACAUGCAAGUCGAACGAGAGAUGAGGAGCUUGCUCUUCAAAUCGAGUGGCGAACGGGUGAGUAACGCGUGAGGAACCUGCCUCAAAGAGGGGGACAACAGUUGGAAACGACUGCUAAUACCGCAUAAGCCCACGGCUCGGCAUCGAGCAGAGGGAAAAGGAGUGAUCCGCUUUGAGAUGGCCUCGCGUCCGAUUAGCUGGUUGGUGAGGUAACGGCCCACCAAGGCGACGAUCGGUAGCCGGACUGAGAGGUUGAACGGCCACAUUGGGACUGAGACACGGGCCCAGGACUCCUACGGGAGGCAGCAGUGGGGAAUAUUGCACAAUGGGGGAACCCUGAUGCAGCGACGCCGCGUUGGAGGAAGAAGGUCUUCGGAUUGGUAAACUCCCUGUUGUUGAGGAAGGAUAAUGACGGUACUCAACAAGGAAGUGAACGGCUAACUACGUG
rnacentral:rRNA from 1 species